UUUCGUGUUCUAUGGAAGUAAGU
rnacentral:snRNA from 1 species